UGUUCUAAGUGAAAAACUAAAGAAGGAAAGAUAAAACAUUAGGUGAGGAAUUGGUUCGCUUCACACAUUGAGCCACCAGAAGAAAUGGGUAUGGGUUACUCAACAUGUUCACACAUAACUCUUAUUUAGAGCUGUUAAAGCAAUACUACUAAAAUAGAUUGCGUUUGCUUUUUAAAUUAGGGCUUAGGAAAUCCCCAAUUAGAUCAAAGGGGCCAAAGAAACAAGUUUCUAUGAAAAAAUGUUGUCUAUAUCACAGUGAAAUCUGUAACUUCGUACAAUUAAUACAUUAAUAAACAUUUUUUGUCCAUUCCCUAAAUACUGGAAUUUUCUGCACUCUUAUUACGGUUGUGUCAGGUUGUUUUCCUUGUCAUUAUUUCUGACUGAAAUACCAAUGAGCAUGAGCGCGUCUUGAUAGUUCCCUGCUCUCACACCAACCAUUUCCUGUUGCUGAGCUCUGUUUCAGGUAACUCCCUUGGCCUACGCCCCCUUGCCUCUUGCUGACAGUUUCCCCUGCAUUUCUGUCAGGAAGCACAGGGUACCAAGGAAACUGGGAAUGUGCCGUCACACGGAAGUCUGGCUCACUACUCUCUGUGAGCAGUCUCCCCAUCACCUCUCACUCGCCCACAGCUCUAGGAGUUGAUGUUCAAUAUAAUACACACGUGUUUAAAGAUGUAUCUAAACAUGGAAGUUGUUUAGUUGAGCGUGGUGGUGCACACACCUGGGAGGCUGAGGCAGGAGGAGCUCACCCUGGGCAAUUUAGUGACUUAGUGAAACCCCGUCUCAAAAAAAAAAAAGAGAGAGGGCUGGGGGUACAGGUCAGUGUGAGGGCCCAGUUCAAUGCUCAGUAGGAAAAAAAGAAAAGAAAAUCCUAACUUUUGUCUAGAAAACCCUAAAAUACCCAAAGGAUUGCCUAUUGUGCAAAACAUCUUUGUAUGGCUGUAAGAAAACCACGACAGUUUGGACGUGUUUCCUCUUCCUUGCCAGAGUGUUAGCAGCCUACAGGUAACGCAGGCUUCUGUGAUGUAAGCGCAGGCUGGCGUCAAAGUUCCGGAUCCGCUCCGCCUGGUCCUGCCUCAGCCUGGGCAUCUGGGCCUCUGUCCAAGCUCCGCCUGGGGACAGGCCGCACUCCUGGGGUGCGCAAAACAAAAGUGCAGGAAAUGGUCCUUCGGCUGAAGUCGCAGUUUCAGGUGUUAGCGAGCUCGUUCGUCUGGCACUAACCGCGGGCCUGGUUCGUGCAGCAGAGGCGUCAGCCUGCCGAGCGGGGCUGGGAGCCAGCAGCAAUCAUGAUUCCUGAGGGCAAGAGGCACUCUAUAAAGGGGCCCGAAUGGCAUCAUCCAAGGACAACCCGGAGCUGGCUGACAGUAAGACACCUGCUCAGGGAUCUGACCACCUUCUUCUCCGUGGCUUAAGCAGUGUGGCAUGGAGGUGCAAACCGCUUGGCUCAGCCUCUGAAGCCCAAGUUCUUCAGCUUCAGUCCAGGCUCUGCUGCUUCAUGGUUCUUGGUCUGGACAAGCUACUCCCUCUCUGCUGCAGUUCCCUAGGCUGUACUGCGGGGUAUUCAUAGUGCCCGCCUUCACAAGGGUGUUGGAAGGGAAUCAGUGAGUUAAUGCAUGUGCACUGUGUGUUAUUAUCAGAAGGCCUCACCUGUCAAUAGGUUAAACUGCAGAAUUAAAGGCCCGGGGGACAGGAACUUUCCCUUCACUGUGUUAUGGGGACAGUGUGGAGAAAGGUCUGAGAGAAUCACUCCACACAGAAUGGCCCAUCAGUCUCUCUGCAGGGUGCCCUGCUGGGCACUGUCCCCCUCGAAGACGGCUCUGCCUCACUGACCCUGCCAUGCCUCUUGAGUCCCCUGCUGCAGACCGGUGUUAAGGCACAGGGCCAUUGUCUGACACCUCCUGUUGAGUGCAGUGCCGGCUGCCUUUGAGAAGGAGUCACUGUAAUGCAGCUGCAGACCACAGAAGCCCUGGUGCUGUGAGUGUGGACGUUCCGAAAUCUACUCCAUUACAGGAAAGGAGCACAAAUGUGUUUGUAUUUUAGUAGAAUUUUGUGAAAAACUGAAUUUAGGUUGUUAGACGUAAUUGACUUUCAGUGCAUUAGGAAGCACACUUAAUUUUAGCACUGUCCUCCUAGGAAUCUCAUGAUAGAUAGAUAGAUAGAUAGA